rnacentral:tRNA from 1 species
AGCCUUGUGGUGUAAUACAUAUUGGAUUGCAAAUCCGAAGACGCCGGUUAGUCGCCGGCCGGGGCUU